AUUGAACGCUGGCGGCAUGCCUUACACAUGCAAGUCGAACGGUAACGCGGGGCAACCUGGCGACGAGUGGCGAACGGGUGAGUAAUACAUCGGAACGUGCCCAGUAGUGGGGGAUAGCCCGGCGAAAGCCGGAUUAAUACCGCAUACGACCUACGGGUGAAAGCGGGGGACCGCAAGGCCUCGCGCUAUUGGAGCGGCCGAUGUCAGAUUAGGUAGUUGGUGGGGUAAAGGCCUACCAAGCCUACGAUCUGUAGCUGGUCUGAGAGGACGACCAGCCACACUGGGACUGAGACACGGCCCAGACUCCUACGGGAGGCAGCAGUGGGGAAUUUUGGACAAUGGGCGAAAGCCUGAUCCAGCCAUGCCGCGUGCGGGAAGAAGGCCUCGGUUGUAACG
rnacentral:rRNA from 1 species